AUCCCAGGAAUCCCAGGAUCACGCCCUGAGCCAACGGCAGAUGCUCAAACACUGAGCCACCCAGAUUAGUUUUGCCUGUUCUUGAAACUGAUGCCCAUGGACUCCUCCCCCCACUCUAUUUUUGCUGAAUUAUUUUAAAGCAAACCCCAGAUCUUAUGUUACUUCGUCUCUACAUGAUUUGAAUCAAGGAGUGCUUACAUUUUAGACAUAGCCCAUGCUCACCAUGAUGGAGGAGCCAGCCACAAAAAAUACCAGCUAAGAAUGGACUUAUUAUAAAUUCUAACACAAGGACUAUUCAUGUGGAGUGCAGCAAGUGCAAGGCUGAGCUCUGUGACCCAGAGACGUACUCUUGAGUUCUCCCCAUUUAGUGGUGCAGAAAUAUCUCUGCCUCUUGCUUCUUUGCAAUACAUCACCUCCUGGGAGCAGGUUCAGGCUUACUGCCCUCUCCCCUCAUUAGUCAUAUGUGUGCUACGGGCUCUCGAGCCUUUCCCAAACCUUUCUUAUCCCACCCUUCCCCAAAAGGGUUCCUGCCUCUCC